rnacentral:rRNA from 1 species
AUUGAACGCUGGCGGCAUGCUUUACACAUGCAAGUCGAACGGCAGCGCGGGCCUCGGCCUGGCGGCGAGUGGCGAACGGGUGAGUAAUACAUCGGAACGUGCCCAGUAGUGGGGGAUAGCUCGGCGAAAGCCGGAUUAAUACCGCAUACGACCUGAGGGUGAAAGCGGGGGAUCUUCGGACCUCGCGCUAUUGGAGCGGCCGAUGGCAGAUUAGCUAGUUGGUGGGGUAAAGGCCUACCAAGGCGACGAUCUGUAGCUGGUCUGAGAGGACGACCAGCCACACUGGGACUGAGACACGGCCCAGACUCCUACGGGAGGCAGCAGUGGGGAAUUUUGGACAGUGGGCGAAAGCCUGAUCCAGCAAUGCCGCGUGUGUGAUGAAGGCCUUCGGGUUGUAAAGCACUUUUGGCGGGAACGAAAAGGACUGUGCCAAUACCACGGUUCGAUGACGGUACCCGCAGAAUAAGCACCGGCUAACUACGUG